UAGAGUUUGAUCAUGGCUCAGAUUGAACGCUGGCGGCAGGCCUAACACAUGCAAGUCGAACGGUAACAGGAAGCAGCUUGCUGUUUCGCUGACGAGUGGCGGACGGGUGAGUAAUGUCUGGGAAACUGCCUGAUGGAGGGGGAUAACUACUGGAAACGGUAGCUAAUACCGCAUAACGUCGCAAGACCAAAGAGGGGGACCUUCGGGCCUCUUGCCAUCGGAUGUGCCCAGAUGGGAUUAGCUAGUAGGUGGGGUAACGGCUCACCUAGGCGACGAUCCCUAGCUGGUCUGAGAGGAUGACCAGCCACACUGGAACUGAGACACGGUCCAGACUCCUACGGGAGGCAGCAGUGGGGAAUAUUGCACAAUGGGCGCAAGCCUGAUGCAGCCAUGCCGCGUGUAUGAAGAAGGCCUUCGGGUUGUAAAGUACUUUCAGCGGGGAGGAAGGGAGUAAAGUUAAUACCUUUGCUCAUUGACGUUACCCGCAGAAGAAGCACCGGCUAACUCCGUGCCAGCAGCCGCGGUAAUACAA
rnacentral:rRNA from 1 species